rfam:Oryza glumipatula chromosome 12, whole genome shotgun sequence.
AAAAUGGCAAACCUUGGGUUUCCGUGUCCAACUUUAUUUGUUCGUCUUAUAUGAAAUUUUUUUAUAAUUCGUAUUUUUAUUGUUGUUAGAUGAUAAAACAUGAUUAAUAUUUUAUACGUGACUUGUCUUUUUAAUUUUUUCAUAAUUUUUUCAAAUAAAACGGACGGUCAAACGUUGGACACGGAAAUCAGGGUUUGUCUUUUU